GGGCGAUUGGUUUAGUGGUAACGACCUUUUCGCAUGGGGUAGGUCCUAUGUUCGAUUCAUAGAUUGUCCA